rnacentral:rRNA from 1 species
UAGUCCACGCCGUAAACGAUGAGUGCUAAGUGUUAGAGGGUUUCCGCCCUUUAGUGCUGCAGCUAACGCAUUAAGCACUCCGCCUGGGGAGUACGGUCGCAAGACUGAAACUCAAAGGAAUUGACGGGGGCCCGCACAAGCGGUGGAGCAUGUGGUUUAAUUCGAAGCAACGCGAAGAACCUUACCAGGUCUUGACAUCCUCUGACAACUCUAGAGAUAGAGCGUUCCCCUUCGGGGGACAGAGUGACAGGUGGUGCAUGGUUGUCGUCAGCUCGUGUCGUGAGAUGUUGGGUUAAGUCCCGCAACGAGCGCAACCCUUGAUUUUAGUUGCCAGCAUUUAGUUGGGCACUCUAAGGUGACUGCCGGUGACAAACCGGAGGAAGGUGGGGAUGACGUCAAAUCAUCAUGCCCCUUAUGACCUGGGCUACACACGUGCUACAAUGGAUGGUACAAAGGGCUGCAAGACCGCGAGGUCAAGCCAAUCCCAUAAAACCAUUCUCAGUUCGGAUUGUAGGCUGCAACUCGCCUACAUGAAGCUGGAAUCGCUAGUAAUCGCGGAUCAGCAUGCCGCGGUGAAUACG